rnacentral:rRNA from 1 species
GACGAACCGAGCGAACGUUGUUCGGAAUCACUGGGCUUAAAGGGCGCGUAGGCGGGCCCGCCAGUCUGUGGUGAAAUCCUCCGGCUCAACCGGAGAACUGCCUCGGAUACUGCGGGUCUCGAGGGUGAUAGGGGUAUGCGGAACUAUCGGUGGAGCGGUGAAAUGCGUUGAUAUCAUCAGGAAUACCGGAGGCGAAGGCGGCUCACUGGGGGUUUUCUGACGCUGAGGAACGAAAGCCAGGGGAGCGAACGGG